UCGGCCGUGGUGUAAUUGGCAACACCUCGGGUUUUGGUCCCGAUAUUCUAGGUUCGAGUCCUAGCGGCCGAG
rnacentral:tRNA from 3 species